rnacentral:rRNA from 1 species
UACAGAGGUCCCAAGCGUUGUUCGGAAUUACUGGGCGUAAAGCGCACGUAGGCGGACUGUUAAGUCGGGGGUGAAAUCCUGGGGCUCAACCUCAGAAUUGCCUCCGAUACUGGCAGUCUCGAGUGCGGGAGAGGUGAGUGGAAUUCCCAGUGUAGAGGUGAAAUUCGUAGAUAUUGGGAAGAACACCAGUGGCGAAGGCGGCUCACUGGCCCGUAACUGACGCUGAGGUGCGAAAGCGUGGGGAGCAAACAGG